CACGUAGGGUGCGAGCGUUGUCCGGAAUUAUUGGGCGUAAAGAGCUCGUAGGCGGUGUGUCGCGCCGGCCGUGAAAACCUGCAGCUUAACUGUGGGCGUGCGGUCGAUACGGGCAUCACUGGAGUUCGGCAGGGGAGACUGGAAUUCCUGGUGUAGCGGUGAAAUGCGCAGAUAUCAGGAGGAACACCGGUGGCGAAGGCGGGUCUCUGGGCCGAUACUGACGCUGAGGAGCGAAAGCGUGGGGAGCGAACAGG
rnacentral:rRNA from 1 species